UACGUAGGGGGCAAGCGUUGUCCGGAAUCACUGGGCGUAAAGGGUGCGUAGGCGGUUAUGCAAGUCUGGAGUGAAAGUUCAGGGCUUAACCCUGAGAGUGCUUUGGAAACUGGGGGACUUGAGUGCAGGAGAGAAGAGUGGAAUUCCACGUGUAGCGGUGAAAUGCGUAGAGAUGUGGAGGAACACCGAUGGCGAAGGCAGGUCUCUGGGCUGACACUGACGCUCAUGCACGAAAGCGUGGGGAGCAAACAGG
rnacentral:rRNA from 1 species